AAACUUUCGCUACCGGCGUGCUUANUUUAUGCAAGUCGAACGAUGAAGCCCUUCGGGGUGGAUUAGUGGCGAACGGGUGAGUAACACGUGGGCAAUCUGCCCUUCACUCUGGGACAAGCCCUGGAAACGGGGUCUAAUACCGGAUAACACCUGCCCGGGCAUCUGGGUGGGUUAAAAGCUCCGGCGGUGAAGGAUGAGCCCGCGGCCUAUCAGCUUGUUGGUGAGGUAGUGGCUCACCAAGGCGACGACGGGUAGCCGGCCUGAGAGGGCGACCGGCCACACUGGGACUGAGACACGGCCCAGACUCCUACGGGAGGCAGCAGUGGGGAAUAUUGCACAAUGGGCGAAAGCCUGAUGCAGCGACGCCGCGUGAGGGAUGACGGCCUUCGGGUUGUAAACCUCUUUCAGCAGGGAAGAAGCGAAAGUGACGGUACCUGCAGAAGAAGCGCCGGCUAACUACGUGCCAGCAGCCGCGGUAAUACGUAGGGCGCAAGCGUUGUCCGGAAUUAUUGGGCGUAAAGAGCUCGUAGGCGGCUUGUCACGUCGGGUGUGAAAGCCCGGGGCUUAACCCCGGGUCUGCAUUCGAUACGGGCUAGCUAGAGUGUGGUAGGGGAGAUCGGAAUUCCUGGUGUAGCGGUGAAAUGCGCAGAUAUCAGGAGGAACACCGGUGGCGAANGCGGAUCUCUGGGCCAUUACUGACGCUGAGGANCGAAAGCGUGGGGAGCGAACAGGAUUAGAUACCCUGGUAGUCCACGCCGUAAACGGUGGNACUAGGUGUUGGCGACAUUCACGUCGUCGGUGCCGANCUACGCAUNANUUCCCCCCUGGGAAUCNGNCNCAGGNUAACUAAAGANUGACGGGNCCNCCAACCCGACNUUNGUUAUNNACCACCGANACUACAGGUGNUNCCGAACGCNAAUGNCCCCUNGNCGNNAGGGGCUGGNCNACUNUCNAAUGGUAUCCNACCCCUUUNUCCCUCUNGGNGGCAGANCGGAUGGAGGNCAAUUNCUUUGUCCCNGGNANGACGGGANAAUUUNNGUCCCAGNUAANUGAUCNCCCCAACCNCGGGGGG
rnacentral:rRNA from 1 species